AUGCCCAUCGGUACACCGAUGGGCAUCCUAGGUCGCAGGUCGAUGAUAGACUUUGUAGUUGUAUCAUCUGACCUUCGGCCGUAUGUAUUGGACACCCGAGUGAAGAGAGGAGCGGAGCUGUCAACUGAUCACCACCUGGUGGUGAGUUGGAUCAGAUGGCAGGGGAAGAUGCUGCGUAGACCUGGCAGACCCAAACGCAUAGUGAGGGUCUGCUGGGAACGCCUGGCAGAACAACCUGUCAAGACGGUCUUCAACUCCCACCUCCGGCAGAGCUUUGAUCGCGUCUCAAGAGCAGUGGGGGACAUCGACUCCAAGUGGGCCUUGUUCCACUCUGCGAUUGUAGAGGCGGCUGUUGCUAGCUGUGGUUCUAAGGUGGCCGGUGCCAGUCGUGGUGGCAAGCCCCGUACCCGCUGGUGGACACGAGAGGUUAGGGGAGCUGUCAGGCUGAAGAAGGAGGCCUACAGGGCGUGGCUGGUCUGUGGGUCUCCGGAGGCAGCAAAGGGGUACCUAAUAGCCAAGCGGGGUGCAGCAGCGGCAGUUGUCGAGGCAAAUUGUCGGGCGUGGGAUGAGUUGGGUGAGGCCAUGGAGAAAGACUAUCAAUCGGCUCCAAAGAGGUUCUGGGAAACUGUCCGGCGCCUCAGGAGAGGAAGGCAGCAACUCGCUCACACUGUUUACAGUGGGGAUGGGGAGCUGCUGAUGUCAACUGGGGCUAUAGUCGGGCGGUGGAAAGAAUUCUUUGAGGAACUCCUCAAUCCCAUCUACGCGCAUUCUGAGGAGAAGCCAGAUCCGGGAGACCUGGGGGUGGACUGUUCAAUCUCUGGGGUAGAAGUUGCUGAGGUAGUCAAACAACUACACAGCGGUGGAGCCCCGGGGGUGGAUGAAAUUCGUCCUGGGUAUCUCAAGGCUAUGGAUGUGGAAGGGCUGUCAUGGUUGACACGUCUCUGCAACAUUGCGUGGUCAUCGGGGCAGUUCCUGUGGAGUGGUAGACCGAGGUGGUGGUCCCCAUCUUUAAAAAGGGUGACCGGAGGGUGUGUUCCAACUAUAGGGGGAUCACACUCCUCAGCCUCCCUGGAAAGGUCUACUCCAAGGUACUGGAGAAGAGGGUCCGAUCGAUAG
rnacentral:lncRNA from 1 species